CAGUCGCCGGGUAAUACAGAGGGUGCAAGCGUUAAUCGGAAUUACUGGGCGUAAAGCGCGCGUAGGUGGUUUGUUAAGUUGGAUGUGAAAGCCCCGGGCUCAACCUGGGAACUGCAUCCAAAACUGGCAAGCUAGAGUACGGUAGAGGGUGGUGGAAUUUCCUGUGUAGCGGUGAAAUGCGUAGAUAUAGGAAGGAACACCAGUGGCGAAGGCGACCACCUGGACUGAUACUGACACUGAGGUGCGAAAGCGUGGGGAGCAAACAGGAUUAGAUACCCGUGUAGUCCCUGUCUCUUAUACA
rnacentral:rRNA from 1 species